GAUGAACGCUGGCGGCGUGCCUAAUACAUGCAAGUCGAGCGAACGGACGAGAAGCUUGCUUCUCUGAUGUUAGCGGCGGACGGGUGAGUAACACGUGGAUAACCUACCUAUAAGACUGGGAUAACUUCGGGAAACCGUAGCUAAUACCGGAUAAUAUUUUGAACCGCAUGGUUCAAAAGUGAAAGACGGUCUUGCUGUCACUUAUAGAUGGAUCCGCGUUGCAUUAGCUAGUUGGUAAGGUAACGGCCUACCAAGGCAACGAUGCAUAGCCGACCUGAGAGGGUGAUCGGCCACACUGGAACUGAGACACGGUCCAGACUCCUACGGGAGGCAGCAGUAGGGAAUCUUGCGCAAUGGGCGAAAGCCUGACGGAGCAACGCCGCGUGAGUGAUGAAGGUCUUCGGAUCGUAAAACUCUGUUAUUAGGGAAGAACAUAUGUGUAAGUAACUGUGCACAUCUUGACGGUACCUAAUCAGAAAGCCACGGCUAACUACGUG
rnacentral:rRNA from 1 species